rnacentral:rRNA from 1 species
AGCAGCCGCGGUAAUUCCAGCUCCAAUAGCGUAUAUUAAAGUUGUUGCAGUUAAAAAGCUCGUAGUUGAAUUUCGGGGUUAGCAGGUCGGUCGUGCCAUCGGUAUGAACUGGUCUCGCUGAUCCCUCCCUCUUGACGAACUGUGAUGCCAUUAAUUUGGUGUCGCAGGGAAUCAGGACUGUUACUUUGAAAAAAUUAGAGUGUUUAAAGCAGGCUCACGCUUGAAUACAUUAGCAUGGAAUAACGAAAUAGGACGUUUGAUCCUAUUUUGUUGGCUUCUAGGAUUGACGUAAUGAUUAAUAGGGAUAGUUGGGGGCAUUAGUAUUCAAUUGUCAGAGGUGAAAUUCUUGGAUUUAUUGAAGACUAACUACUGCGAAAGCAUUUGCCAAGGAUGUUUUCAUUAAUCAAGAACGAAAGUUAGGGGAUCGAAGACGAUCAGAUACCGUCGUAG